GGUGGGCAUAGUUAUGGAAGAACCUUAUUUCAUUCAGAACUUUUGGGAUCACCCCUUGGACACUCCUGUUGAAGCCUGGAGAAAUGGGCUCACCGGGGGGACGCAGGGCCAAGUCUUGGUAGAUGUAUGAGCUUAAGCUCUCAAGGGCAAUACCGUGCCAUGAGACCGCAAGAUUGGGGAGAGUUUUCGCCAGCGAGUGAGGCAGCGCGACGCUUUCUGAGUGGACUACGUCGAAGGGGACCUGGCUGUUCUCCUCCAGAAACUGCUCCCACGCCCUGUUGUAGGCCCACCGCCCUGGUUCCCCUUCAUGGAAGUGAAUUCUCGGGGAUGAGGACGUUGGGCUGCCGUUAGAUUGCAUAUUCAUUUCUUGCAAAGCAGCUGCUCCUCUCUGGUCUCCAGGCGGGGAGGUGAAGAUGUGGACGCGAUGGCCGCGGCGGGAUAAGGCUGUGUGCAGCGUUUGGGCGUGGCGCUCCAUGCCACCUGGGGUUGUGCCAAUAGGCCAUUUCCUUGAGAAGACCGCGAUCUUGAGGACGACGGGUGGGGCACGGCUCCCGCCCAGCUCCAGGCGGUUCCAGGCGAACUCAGCUCCACGGAGGUCACCGGUCCACGGUCUGACAUGGGAGGAGAAGGGGUUGGAGAUGGAGGAAGGGACAUGGAGGACAAGACGAGCUGAAAUGGUGAAGAGAACAAUGAAGAAAAGGAUUCUUGUGAGGCUUGUUUGGGGUGGGAGAAAGCCCCUUUUGGGCUUGGUGUUGGGAGCCAUAUCGGGGGUGAGUUUCGAAGUAUGGAGAAGGGUGUUUGUCUUGUGCUAGAUGCUUUUGAAAACCAAAAAUUUAUAGGUGUUCAUUUGAUGGUUCUGGGUACGUGGGUUUGAAUCCCAAUAAUCUUUGCAUAAGAUUUAUAUUCAACUUGCUUUUAAGAUGUUGCUACUUGAUCAAGCUUCACCCUUAUAAUUGAUUUGUUUUUUUCAUGUAUUCCUUCAUUAUCAUCAUUAUAAAUUAGAACUUUUUUAUAACAUGUCAGAACCAAAAAUCACAACUAAUAAAAAAUGUCUUUUUUAUUUGUAUUUUAAUAAUAAUUUUAUUUAUUUUAUAGUUAGUUCUCAUUUAUUUACAACCUUCUUUCAAAGUAAAAUAUUAUGUUAUGUUUGGUUCUGAAAAAUAUUAAAAAAUAAAUAAAUAAAUAUUAAGAAACACGAUUUUUUUCAUAUUUGGUUUCAUCAUAAAAAAAAUAUAUAAAAAAUUAAAUAUAAUUAAAAUUAAUUUAAAAUUUAUAUAUUUUAAAAUUAUUUAAUCUUAUUAUAAUAUAAAAAAAAUAAGUAAAUUGAAUUUUAAAAAAUAUAUAAAAAUAAUUGAUUAAAUUUAAAUAUAUUCUUUUAUUUUUUUAAACUUUUUUUUAUUUUCUUUUUUUCGUAUUUUGUCUCGAGAAACAAACAUAAAGUGUUAAUCAUGGAUAUAUUUUCUAUGAAGAAUUGUUAAUAUGGGUGAGCCUUCUCUCCCUCCUAGGGAUUAUAAUGAAGUAAUAAGUCAACUACCCACCUUAGGAAGAUUUGGAGCGAAACCGAUUUGACUGUUGCUUUUGACAUUCCCUUAACAUAUACAACCCACAUUCCCUUUAGGUAAGUUUUGAGUGUGAUGCAUGUGUUCAUACAAAUGUAAAAUGCCAACACACACGAUAUAAACUUGGCCCUUAAUAUAUACAUGUGGGAGGUAGUGGACUCUAUAAGCCACUUGCAUGUGCUUUUGCUUGGCCUAGAAGCACAAAUUUUAUUUAUUUAUUUUCUUUUAGGGAUAGGCUACUUUGCUCUCUUUUUAAGGUCCACUUAGCUGUAUAUGUACGUGACUUUUUAAGUGUAACAUUUAUGCCUAUUAAUUCAUGUGGUUGUGCUUUGUCCACAUGUGCUUUGUCAAAUCACAUGAAAGGGGAUUAUAUUUGAAGGAAUUGAUUAGUUACUAUUUUAUGGGAUUUUUAUAUUUUUAUUAUUCAAUUAUUGUUUUAUUUUUUUAUUAUUUUAUUUUGGUUUUAUUUUUUAUUUUUGAAAGUUUAUAUUUUUUUAAAAAAAAUUAGUCGAUUUAUAAUAGUAAAGCAUUAAUGUUCAACAUUCAUCCAACAAAAUAUGAAAAUGAAAGAAAAUUGGAUAAAAUUGAGGAGAGACCACAAGUUUUUUAAAUUACUUUAGCUUUAAAAUAUUAUUCUUUAUGUGGGUUUUGUAACACCAAGCUCAAGACUCAAGUAAGACUACACAUUGGGUUGGGCUGUUCAUGGCCUAUCAACCUAGGCCCAAAAACUUUUAAAUGAGUAAGAUCAGGUUUUUGGUGAUAAAGAGCUUGAUAGGGUGAUCUAUUCUUUAACACUGGUGUAGGAAGUCUAUUUAUCAAAUAAACUGCAGUUUCAAAGGCUUGUUCCCAAAAUUUUAAAGGCAUGGAUGCUCUUGUGCAAGCUAGGUUAGGCUCAUUUCAAUAAUGUGCCUAUGUUUUCUUUCUGCAUUUCCUUGUUGUUCAAGUGUGUGAGGACAUGGAUGCCUAUGUUUGACACCAAAAGUUGCAAGGAAAUUAGUGAAAGGCCUGUACUCCCCACUCCAAUCAAUUUAAAGUGCCUUUAUUUAUUUUUUUUUGUUAAAUUGAAGUUCAAUAAAAACCUUGAAUUACUUGAAAAUGCAUCAGAUUUUUGUUUGAUGGGAAACAUGCAUGUAUAUCUGGUGAAGUUGUCAAUGAAGUGAAUAUAGUAUCUUACCCCAUUUAAAGCAGGCACAAGUGAUGGACCUUAAAUAUCUGAGUAUGUUAAUUCUAAGGGUUCAGUUGUCAUAGAAGUGGAGUGGUUUAAAGGAAGCUUGUGUGCUUUUCCAAGUUGGCAUGCUGAACAAAAGAAAUACUGAUCUUUAUUGCCUUGAACUUGAACUUUACAAUUGGAAAGUAAAGAUUCAACAACUUUCAUAGGAGGGUGUCCAAGGCACUGAUAUCAUAGACUUACAUUUGAAUUCAAACUAGAGAUAGAUAACAUUGAAAAAGAACUUGCUGACCCUAUGUAAUUAUUCUGUAGGCUUCUUGAGUUUAUUUUUUAUCCUAGAUUUUGAAGUUGAAGUUGGUAAAGCCCACUUGAUAAGUCAAGCUUCCCUCUGAGUAGAACUUUCCUUGUGGUUGAAUCCUUGUCAACACAUAAAGAAGGAUGAAAUUCAAUAAAGGCAUUGUUGUCAGAGGUAAAUUUGGAUAUACCAAGCAAGUUCUUUGUUAUGGCAGGCACACAAAACAAAUUAUUUAGAAGCAAUUAGAUUUAUUGUUAGAAUGAAUAGCAGCAUGCCCAGAAUGAGUGAUGGUAAAACCUUGGCCAUUUCCCACCAAAAUUUUGUUGGCUCCUCCAUACUCUACUGGCAUUGAUAGGUUGUUAAUACCAGGAGUAAUGUGAUUAGAAGCCCCUGAAUCUGGAUACUAGUUUAGAUCAUUGACUAUAUGUGGAGAAGCUGUCAUGGCUGUGUGCUGACUGACAUUUGGGCCUUGAUAGGUUUGAUCAAAUCUGUAAUAACAUAUGGCUGCUAUGUGACCAAGCUUUCUACAAACCUGACAUUGUGGCUUGGACUUAUUUUGAUAAUUUCCUAGGCCUUUACCUCGUCCAUAUCCAUGACCCCUGCCAGAAAAAAUUGUUAUUUUGUAGAUUUUUGUUCUGAAAAUGUUGAGAAUUCUUACCACCAGAAUUAUUUCUCUUAUCAUUGUUCAUUGACGGAUUGUUGUGUUGAUAGAAAGUGCCUUGGUAUUUUUUUUUUUAUUGCUGUUUUGAACUGCAAUAUGUGUUGAGAUUUGUAGCAGAGUUUCUUGACCUCCAUUUGUGAUAUCCAGAUGAUUCUCUUGAAUAAAUAGGAGACUACUUAUUUCUCCUAUAUCAAGUUCACCAAUACCUCCAGGUUUGGUGCUGGUAGAUGUAACAAAAGAUUCAUACUUAGGACUCAAACCAUUUAGGAUAUGUUCGAUUUGCUCUUCAUGUGGCACCAAAUGAUCAGUUGUUUCCCUUUUGUCUACAAACCCUUGCAUUUUUACCAGGUAUUCAGUCAUGGAAAGGGUACCUUUCUUUGUGGAUUGCAGUUGAAUUCAAAAUUGCCUGAUCCUUGCUCUUGACUGAGAGGUGAAACGUAGUCCCAAGCCACAAACGAGGUUGCUGAAUUAAUGAUCUGAGCAUGGAUUCCUUCUGAUAGUGAUGAGAAAAUCCAAUUCAGAAUUGUCUGAUCAUGCCUUUGCCAUCGUAGAUACAGAGGAUUGAUGGUGUUUGAAUUCAGAAGAGGUUUUGGAGGAUAUUUUAUCAUACCCUUGACAUGAUCUUCUAAAUGUGAGAAUCUGAGAUUUCCCAAACAGAUAAUUGUGUUCAUCAAGCUUGAUGGUCAAGGAAUGGUUAAGGGUGUUUGAUGGAAGCUGAGGUGGUUGGGUUGAUUGAAUUUCAGUGGCUAGACUAUUCUGUACAUUCAAAGAAGAUUGGGGUGUUUGGUCUCCAGUGAUUGAUGUCAUUUUUCAGGCUGAUGACUCUGAUACCAUGAAGAGAAUUACAAGUUUAUUGACUUGAAAAACUUCACGUACAAUGAGAGUUACACCAGAAUUUAUAAUGAAUCAAAACUGAAAAAAAAAAAUGAUUCAACCUUAUCCUAGAUCACUAGAAUCCUUAGUAAUUCAAACUAUUAAAUCCUUAUCAGUUUGGAAUCCUAUGAUCACUAGAAUCCGUAGAGAUUCAAACUAUUAAAUCCUUAUCAGUUGAGUUCAAAUUGAAUCCUUAUCCUGGUCACUUCUAAUUUUAUAUUUUCCUAUAUCUUCCAUUUCUUUAUUUCUAUAAUAUAUAUUACUCCAUUUAUCAUAAAAGAUUUAAAUAGUUUAUUUACUAAACCUUGUUUCUCAAUUUUUAUUCUUUACUGUUUUCUCAUACUUUUUAUAUAAAAUUAAAUAAUUUAUUUACUAUUAUUUUUCCAUAUCUCUUUAUCUUUUUUAUAUAUAAAAAUUUAAAUAUUUUAUUCUCUAAACCCUAUUUUUCCAUUUUUUUUAUUCUUUAAUACAUAUUUUCAUAACUUUUUAUUAAAAAAAACUAAAUAAUCUAUUUACUAAAAAAAAUUUUAUUAUGUUUGAUGCAUUCUUUAUAUAUAUAUAUAUAUAUAUAUAUAUAUAUAUAUAUAUAUAUAUAUAUAUAUAUUAUAAAUAAAUAAAUAAUUUAUAUCUUAAAAAAUUAGUAUUGAUUUUCCAUAUUUUUAAUCUUUUUAUUAAAAUAUUUAAUUAAUUUAUUUGCUAAAAAUUAAAUAAUUUAUUCACUAUUUUUUUUUUGCACCUUUUAUAAAAUAAAAAAAAUUAAAUAAUUUACUUACUAAAAAUUCCUAUUAUGUUUCAAGCAUUCUUUUUUUCAUAUAUUUUUUUUUUAUCUUUAAUAAUAUUAUUCCUUUUUUUAAAAAAAGUUAAAUAAUCUUGUUUCCCAUAUUUUUUAUUCUUUAAUGCAUAUUAUUUUUUUGUAAAAAAUUCGAUAAUACAUUUACUAAAAAUUAAAACUAUGUGCCAUGCAUAUUUAAUAUUUCUUUAAUUCUCUAAGAUAAAUUAUUCUUUUUUUUUUUAUAAAUUUCCUACAACUAAGGGGUAGAACUUCUGUUUUGUCUUCUUAGCACAUGUAGUACUAAGUGUCUUCAUAUACUUUUUUUUUUACUUGUAGUCAUUUCUUGGUGGCCCAUUGAUUCUCAUAUUGUAGACCCUCCAUUUUGUUUCUUUAGCACAUGCCCUAUUAGGUGAUCUUUCAAUAUUCCAUAGUAGUUCCUUGGUAGCUCACGCUACUCAUACAACUUAUCUUUCGAACCACCUUCGAGACUCUAGUCGAGGGAUUUAUCUGACCCCUCAUUGUGACCCUUGGCAGCCUCGAGUUAACCUACGAUUUUUCGUUCUUUUUUUAGGAUAGUUUAUUUAGAUACACAUUUAGGAUAACAUAGUUAGGCACACUUCUAGUUCACUUAGGCCCAUUUAAGCAUACCAUGCCCACCAAGGCUCAUUUACUCACACUUGGCCCAUUAGGCAUCACUUAGGCCCACUUAGACUCAUUUGACCCAUUUAGGAUUACCUUGGCCUUUUUAGGUUACCCUAACCCCUUUAGGUCACCCAAGUUCACUUAGGCACAUUUGACCCAUCUAGGUACACUUAACCCACCUAGGCCCACCUUAGGCUCACCUAACUCACCUAGGCCCAUUUAGGCCCACCUAGAUUCACCUAGGUCUACCUAGGUUCACCUAGGCCCGCUUAGGUUCACCUAAGCCCACUUUAAACACACUUAGGUCACCUCUUUGGCAUUUUUUGCAUGACUUACAUGGUUGCUCAUUUUUAUUUAUUUAUUUAUUUAUUUUUAUUUUUAAUUAACCUAUUUAUUUAUUAUUGUUUUAUCGUUUUCUAAUUUAUUUAUUUAUUCAUUCAAUUAUUUAAUUUAAUAAAUUUGAUGCUUUUGCAAGGAAACCUACCAAUGGAAAAGAAAGGGUUGACAUCAUAUUUUUUAUUUUUUAUUUUUUUAAGGAGAUUUAGUUUUUAAUCUUUAUUUAUUGGAAAAUCAAAUUUUUUUUUAAAAUAGAUAGGAUAAAUUUUAAAUUGAAGAAUCGGAAUAUAUAAUUUAUUUAUUUAUUUUUAUUUUAUUUAUUUUUUUAUUUGUUGGAAAAUCAUAAUUUUUUUUUAAAUGGAGAGGAUAAGUUUGAAUUAAAAGAAACAAUUCUAAAAUGGAAGAUACACAUGAGCCUUUUAGGGGUUUUGUUUUCACCCAAUUUUGGAGACCCAAAAUGCAUUUUUUUUUAAAUAAAUUAUUAUAUGACUUUGUAAAGUUAAUUUAAUAUUUUUGCCUCAACUCUAGACUUCUUUAAAUUGACUUUAAACACAAAAAAAAUAUUGAAAAUAGUUUUUCCAAUUGAAAGAUACAAUUUUCCCUUUCUACAUUGUCCUAAUUUUGAAUAGAGGAGUUGUUUAAUUGUUUUUAAAAUUGAUAUGUAUGCUUUCUCACAUUGUCUUUAUUUUUCUUGUAAAAUAGGCAUUCUAAAAAUGUUUCUUGAUUUUUUUUUUUGGUGAUUUUUUGGCACUUCUAUGUUGGUUUAAAAAAAAAAUUAGUUUAUGCAUGCUAUUGAAAUUCCCUAAAUUUUUUUGUAAUUAAAUUCUCAUUCUAGAUAUUUUUUUUAGCAGUUGUUUUGUGAAAGCUUAUGUUCUGACAGCAUGCUAGAAAUUCUAUAUAGUCUUUAACUUAUCUUUUAAUCUAGAGUUAACUGAUAUAUAUUUGCUUGAUCUUGGCUUUGGUAUUGUAAUAUAGACAUGAUGAGGAUGUUGUUUAAUUUUUCCCAUGACAAAAUAAUAAUUUUUAGAUAAUUGUUUAUGAAUUUUCAUUUGAAUGCAAUUGUUAUGCCCCUUGCUGCAUGUUUUUGUCCUAGUCACUAAUUUUGAUACUUAUAACUAUCUUGAGUAUUAGUUUAAAUUUAACAAUAAGCUUGUAUGUAUGUCCUAGGUGAUAGAUGAUAUUCCUUUGGAAUCUUGCUUUUUUUUUAGCUAUACAAAUGUUAUAUAUAUAUCAUGAAUUGUUCUAACCCUAUUUCAUCAUGUGUAAGCACACUGUAAGUUAUGCAUGUUAUUUAGGUACAUCUCUCACACCUUUUAUCCCUUUAAUUAUGCAAACAUGCAAACUUUGAGUGUGCAAAUUCGGAUAUAUGCUAUUGCUUAGUAUGUUUUGUUUGUUACUUCAUUAUUUGAAUGAGAUAGAAUGCAUGUUGCAUGUUAUAUGUCUUGUUGUUUGAACUAACUUCAAUGUCUUUUGAUGGUGCUUAAGUUGUUGUUCAGGUACAUACACUAUCAUCUUCUUUAUGAUUGUGAUUUGACUUUCUUGUUUGGCAUGCUAAUUUUGAAAUCACCUUAACCUAUCUAGGUAUCCAUAAUCAAUUGAUUAACUGCCACAUUUCCCUCAACUUUGCCAAUAAAGACCUUUUUACGACUUAGAGGGGUGCUACCUCUUUGAGGUACCUUCCCAAUAGGUAACCUAAUCCUCAUACCUAAACUCGGGUUUUACAAAGACGAGUUUUUCCAAGACUUUUGAAGUCACAUUUUUUUAUGGUUUUUCUUUCUUAUUUUAUUUUCCCUUUUAAAAUAAAAUAAAACAAGUGGUAACUCCAGAUUUUUUUAAAAAAUAUAUUUUUUUUACCUUAAAAAACGAGUCUCACCAACGAGUAGGGACACAUAAAAAAUAUGAGUCCAAACAUAUGGCUUAAUUUUUUUGAACCAUUUUCAUGAGCCUUUUGUUCAAGGCUCAUUUGGAUCCUUAAUGUGACAACGAUUGGCCAUAAAUUUGAGGUAUCAUGCCAUUGAAACGGGAAUAGUGGAAGGAUCACUACUACAUAAGGAAGAAAAGGUGAGGCUCACAUAGAGGAAGAAAGAAAGGGAAUUGGAGAUAAAAAAAUAAAAAAAUAAAAAAAUAAUAUUUUAGAGAAGAGGACAUUCAAAAUGCUAAUUUCAUUUUUUAUUAAAAAAAAAACCUCUCAUUCCAAGCCAUAUAUAUUCCAAUUAAAAUGAAAUCUCAGAGUGAAAAUUUUAAAAAUAAAAAAAGAAAAGAAAAAAUAAAUAAAAGAAAUUAUGUUAUAUUCCUAUAGCCUAAGUACAGACCCUAAAUUUUUGGCUUACUUUUGUGGCUCACUCUAACCAAGUCCAUCUUGAAACACCAUAAACCAUACACAUGUUUAACCAUCACUUCCCUUUUCUUUUCUUUUCUUUUUUUCCUUAUUUUUCUCUUCUUUCCAUUUUCUUAUAUCUCUUAGACUCACACCCCUCAUUUUUCUUCUUCUCUCAUUUUCAUUCAUUUUAUUAUUUUCCCUACAUUGUUUUUCUUUCUCUUCAUUGUAAUCGUCAACAUCUCUCUCCUACUGUCAUUUUACCCUCUCGUUGUCCUUAUCCAUGGUAGCCCUUGACCCCUCCUGGCACCACACCCACCUCCAAGCCCCACCAACAAUCACCAGUCACCACACCACCCACAACUCCUCAUCACCAUCAUCAUCAAUCUACUAUAUCCCACCAUUCACGGAUAGUUUAGCUUUCCUUUUCAACCUAGGGUAUUAAAAGCAAGGUAAAGUCCUCAUUUGAUCCCCAUAAUUUAUAUUUUCAGCAUUGGGUUUUGUUGGUGGGCUAUCAAGGCAUUGAGUUGUGAUUGUUUUUAGGCCUAAAUUUGUUCAUGUGGGGUUUAGACUUCAUUUAUUGAGUUUAGGUUUGAUUAGUUUAUAUUCAUUGGGGCUUCAUAUGAUUAGACUUUGUUGAAUGUUACUUGGCUUAUUAAUUUUAGGUUUAUUUUUUUGGGCUUAAUUUUUUAUUGCCUUGGUAUAGACCCCUCAUUUUGGGCCCUAGUGAUGCAAUAUUUUGGCUAACAUUAGGAAGCUUUUAAACUCCAUUUCUUGGCAACCUUUGAAGGGACACGUAGUAGGAAGAGAAAGGAGAGUGGGAGUAGGUUUUUAAGGUUCUUUUAGGCCACCCGAUGUGAGACACGUGGAUGGGGAAUAUUCUUUAAAAUAGGGUAAAGAGAAAGUUAGAGAGAAAGACUUUUGGCUUUGUUUAGGAAGGAGUCUUGAAUAAGAAGAAAGAGAAAGACAGAAAAACCAGAAAAGAAAAUGAAGAAGAACCAAAUGAGGAAAAGCUUGAGAGAGCUAGAUAAGAGCACCAAAAAAAGAGAGAAAAGAGGAUUCAUCAGCCUACAUUUUCCACGAGUGCAUUAUUGCUCGCUUCUAAGGUAUGCUCUUAUCCCCACUCUGUUUAUUUAUUCUUUAUGCAUGAGUCACCUUCAUUUUAUGAUCAUUCCUUGGUAUCCAUUGAUUUCUUGAUCAAUUGCCAUACUUUCUUUAACUUGAUUAGUAGAGACUUAAUUUUAAGGUUUAAAAAGGUGUUAUAACUCAUCAUCAUACCCUCCUGAUAGGUAACCUAACCCUUGCACCUAGACUUGGUUUUUGACAAACUUGUCUUUUUCCUUUUAGGAGUCACACUUGGGGUUUUCUUUUUCUUUUUUUUGUUUUUCCUUUUAAAACUAAACAAAAAUUAAGUGGCAACUCCAAAAAAAAAAUUUAUGAAAAAAAAAAUUGAUUUUCAAAAUAAAAAACGAGUCUUGCCAUCAAGUGAGAACACACAUAAAAAAUGUGAGUCCAUAAAAUGGAGAACCCAUUGGGGAUCAAUGAUAGGGUUAAGCUUGGACUUAAGUUGAGGCACAUAUGGUGUUUGAUUGGUCGAUCAGUAGAUACUCUUCUCUUUUUGUGUUUUUAUUUGUUUUAGUGUUGAUUGCACAUUAAGAGCUUUGGUGUGAUUCAUGCUUGGUUUUUAUAUUCGUUUGAGAUGUUGAUAUGUUGAUUUAAUUGAUUGGUUCUUAUGCAUAUCUUAGCAUAUUGACUCUCCUUGUUGUAUGAUUAUCGUACUCACCCUUACACAUGUAUUAUUGUUGUUUUAUAUUUAUUUCAUCUUAAUAUGUUGAUUCUCUUUAUUGUAUAUUAUCUUGAUUAUCUUUGAGCAUGCUAUUCAACUUACUUAUCCCAUUUUUUGCUUAGCUUAUGUAUUAACAUGGAUGUUAUUCAACUAUUUGUUGCAUGACUGUUUUUCUUUUAUGUGAUACAUGUAUUGCUUAUCUAUGUGAGACAAACAUUUAUCCAUUUAUCUCCAAUUCCCUAACCUUAGUCAACCUUGUUUCUCUUGAUCUUAUACUUGAUAUGAGAGUUGUUGCUUUGUUUGUUUAUCGACUGAGUUAAUGAUUCAAAGUAGGAUCUAGUGAUGGACUAUACCUAUGUUUGGGAGCAUUCUAAAGGAGGUUGACACAUUGAUGUUGACAGGAGUCCGAUCUUUGAAAACUUGUAUAACCUAAAGCUAGAUUUCAAAAUACUUAUGUGACCAAUGUGUUUUUUUUUUUUUUGCUUUGAUUUUAUAAAAUUUUUAGAUACACACACAUUGUUCACUAUACACCUUAGAUGGCCACUAAGCAUUAAGAGAUGAGAGCCUUCACCAUAGGAAACCCCUUGGGAGAAUGUGAGGAAGUGCGUAUGUGAGAUGAUGGCCACCUUGCAUGGAAGCACUUUCUUUCUUCAAAAGUGUGUACAAGGUUGCAUACUGUUGGAUGAUACAAGUGCUUUUACUAAGGACCCUUUAAAAUCUACCCUUCUCUUUUUAGAACUGUUUUGACCUUGUAGGGUGAGCCUUAAAUUCUUGAAUUAAGAUUCCUUCCUCACACAUGGGUGCAUUUGAGAGGUUUCAAGAUCGCUUUAGUCAUAACAUGGACCCAAUACUCCUUCAUUUGGUCUUUAGUUGAGAGUGCUCGAAGAUCAGUAUAGGUUUAAGUAUCAAUUGGAACACCAUUUUUCAUGUUUCAUUAGAUUCUCUUUUUAGCUCAUUAAGUUUAGUAUGUCUUCUCCCUAGGGUUUCCAUAUCCCCUUCUCGAGUUAGCACAUUCUUUUAGUUUAUUGUCAUUUUCUACUUGACUCUCUAGGAUAUGCUCAUUGAUCACUUACCUUUAAUUUUGUAUCUUAUACCUAUCAUGGACCUAAUACCUCAUUCUUUGUUCGAUGCUUAAUUCAAUCUUCAAUCCGAUGCUCAUCAUUUUCAUUAUGGAAAUAUGAAAAACAAGUUUUCACAUUCAUACCUUUUUUUUAGAAAGUUGCCUUGAUCACCUUAUCAUUUUUUUCUCUAUGGAGUUCGGGUUGAAAGUUAAGUUAAGGAUAUGUAGUCAUAAAUGGAGUAUUGAUCUUGUGAUAGCAUUGUUUUUCACACCUUUCUUAUCUUGGAUUAUUGAUACAAAUUCUCUAGUUCCAUUUGCAAUCACCUCACAAUGGAUACCUUUAUGACUCUAGAGUUAUUAUCAUACAUCCAAAUUUCAGAAUGUCACCUUAGGACCAUGUGUUUGCCUUAUGUUGUAUAUAGUAUUUAGGGUCUUAUUUUGUGUCUCUCAUUCAUUUUGUUGUAUUAUUUUCAUUGUAAGGGGUCAAUCUAGGAGUUAUUUGAGUCUAAAGUCAUAGCCUUAGAGAAAGGUUGGAGACUAAUUGAUCAUAUCAAAUUCAUCCCAGAUUUCAAACAGUUCAAUUGAUGUUAAACGAGCUAACUUCUAUACUUGCUUCUAUUCAAAAGUUUAUGGUGAGAGUGAGUAGACAUUUGGAUCAAAUAGAAAGUUCUCGCUAUGAUCAUCAUCUAAUUGGCAUAGGUACAUAUGAGACAGUUCCUCAUACAUCUAAGACAACAAAAGCUUUUCCUCCCAAGGUUUCACAUAGUGUUCCAUUUCAUUUAUAUGAUCAUUAUAAGACUAUUACACCUCCUACCACCACAGCACCAUAUCACAUUGUUCCUAUUAAUGAUGAUGUUAGAUUGGUUGAGCAAGAGGCCAAGGUUGAGAGGCUUGAGUCUAAGAUGAGGUAGAUGAGCUUAUAAGAUGGAGGUUCGACUUGGGAUGAAAGAGAUGACAUAUUGACAGCUAGCUUGCCUACCAAAUUUCAAAUGUUUCGAACAUUGAGUGCUAUAAUGGAAUCAGUUUUCUAAAGAUCUAUUUAAGAUUGUACAACAUAGUCAUGGGAGCAUAUGGGUUAGAUGAUGCAUAGUUAAUAGUUUUUUUCCCUAUGUCACUUAGGAGGGCAUAACAGAGAUGGUUUACAUUGAUUGAGCCUUUUCGGACACAAUUUGCAUUUAGCAUUGAUAUUGAUGUAUCCAUACGAGAGUUAAAAGCCACCAAACAAAGGCUAGACAAGAUUAUAUCUUACUUUAUUAGUCGUAAGAGGGAAAAUGUGGUUGGAAUGGUAGAUUGGUUUAAAGAGCAAGGUCAUAUUGAUAUAGUUCUUCAAAACCUUUAGUCGAGGUUUGCUAGACGCCUCGUAAGCAUCACUUUCCAAGAUCUCAAGAGUUUGUUUCAAACUGUUUUCAAUGUUGAGGAGACUAUUGCUCGAGGUCUAUGGACAAAUAUUGUUUCUUCCCAUGAUAGUAAGAGAAAAAAGUCGAUCAAAUCACCUAGUAAGGCAAAAGAGAUCAACAUUAUUAGUUGCCAGCAUUAAAGGCCUGCUCAUCCCUCAUACUAUAGGCCUCCUACAAUCAGAGCCCACUUAUCUCAUUCACAUUAUCAGUAUUAGUCGGUUUAUAUUUAGUAGCCUUACAUUGAUCGGACUAGUAUGCAACCAUGACCACCAUAUCCGAGACCUCUUGCUCAUCAACCACCUAAAUUAUAUGUUCAGAGGCCUAUGAGAUAGUAUACACCAUUGAGCAUGACCACAAUUUGAGCUUUUGAUAAGCUUUGAGAUAUCAACUUGAUUGUUCCCUUGGCACCAUGUCAUUUGUUGCAUCCUAUUCCUUCUCAUUUCUAUCUGCAUAAGCAUUGUGCAUAUCAUCAAACCUAGGGACAUGAUACUGAGCAUUGCAUUGCACUCAACAAUGUGACACAGGACAUGAUUUAUUCUAGUGUCGUUAACUUGUCUGGCCCAAGUAUGAUUGUUAAUCCCUUUGUCUACACAUUCUACUCAUGCAAUUCCCUUUCAUCUUGGUUUUCAAUAGAGCAUUAUGGAUGUUGGCGAUAUUCAGUGACCACUUGACACUAUGAGAUUUUUUUAGAUUAGGUAUUCUUUUACUUAACAUAGGUGCAUUACUUUGUAGUGUUUUAGUAUAAAACAUUCCAUGGUUUGAUUGUGGUAGUCGUCUAAGCCAUCUUUAUUUUAUCAAGUCCAAUUUUGGUUUAGAGUUGCAACUUAUAGUUCAUGUUGAGAAUCCAUUUGUUUGUAGUCCUUUACUUUUCACACAUGAUGUACUCAUUGAUUUAUUUAGUGAUGUGAUUUUUUUCUUAUAAGUAUUUGUUCUUCCCUUUCUUAUGAAUAUGCUUUACAUCUCUUGUGUUGAUAUGUGUUAUGCUUUUGAUAUGAGACAUAUUUCACUUGCAUAUCGUGAUCAUUUGGGUUGAUCUAUCAUAGAGGAUAUUAAACCUAUUGACCUAGGAUGAGAUUGACCUAGGGAGUUUGGGACUACGACACAUUUCAUCUAAUGAUUAGAGUAGCAUCUUAUACAUAUCUAUAUCCAUACCCUAACUUUUUAGACUUGAUGACCUACCUAUUUUGAGCCUAGUAUGACACCCCCUUGACACCACUAUAUGACCUUACCACAUUUGUCUAUCUUAGUUUAAUACAAUACAUUGGACUUGAGAUGAGUGUUGCAUGAUAAUGGAUAGCUUGUGAUGAGAGAGUGAUUUGAUCACUUUAUGAGCUUGUUGACUAUUUUAUGGUUUAGAUGGGCAAAAAGGUUGUUGUAAACUAUCCAAAUUGUCUUGCACAUGUCUUCGGAGAGUUUUAUAUGGUUAUGAAUAUUGAUUUUAUAAGAUGAUGAAUAGUGGUUUAUGAUAAGAGAGUGGCCUGAUUUCUUCAUGACAUUGUUGACUAUGUUAUGGUUGAGAUGUAUAUAGAGGUUACUCAGAAUAUCUGGAGAGAGCUUUCAUAUUAUUCUAAAGGGUUUAUGUAAUUACAUUAGAUGGAUACUAGUUUUUAGUGUCGACUAUGUGAGAUCUUGAGAGCAUGAUGUUUGAGGUUUUGGUCAAAUGAUGGGUGACCAUCAUUUCAUGAGCCUAUUUACCUUAUUACUCUUACAUAUAGAGUUACCCGUUGCUAGCUAUUUGAGCCUCAAGUGGACAUUACAGUCUUUUACGUCGUAUCACCUCAUUUACCUUUGGUACCAAGUUGGGAACCUUAUAAUGCUUGUAUGCUUUUAUUAUGGACCUCAUGAGCAUUGGACCUAAUAGACAUAUUUGGGUCUAUUUCCUCAUUCUUCAUUGUGAUAUUUCUAUCUUGCUAUCAUCACUCUUUUCUAUAUCACAUAUCAUCAUUUGUGAUGUCUGUCCUGUUGUCCUCUCUCAUCAUUGCCUACUUGGCAUUAUCUUUAUUCCAACUUAAGUGUUGGUUUUUCACACAUCACUACAUGGAGGACAGUCACAUUCUUUGCCUUAGUUCACCUCAUGGGUAGUGGUUUAGAGAUCUUAGUUUAAGAGGUUGUCUUUUUUAUGAGAAUUCAUGUUACAUCAGUAUAUAAGGAGGGUUUACUCAUGUGACUGUAUUUUCAUGGAAGAUUGUUUGUUAUUGAUAAGGGUAUGCGCAAAAGGAAAAAAAAAGGCGCAUUAUUUAUAUGUUCAUUAUAUUAUUCUCCUUUGGACUCAUGUAUGGAUGUGUCAAUUCAUUUCACAAGGUUUAUAUGUUGGAGAAAGUUCGUACGAGAGCUCUCAAUGAUCUUCAAUUCUUCUUGAGAUUUUUCCUGUGAUGUGUAUGUAUUCUUGGGUAGGAGUAUGAACCAUCCAUUUGAUUUUUGUGAGAAAGGCGAGAAAUCCUUAGGGUCUCUAGAUUCUUGCCCAAUUUAUUAUUCCAUCCAUUUAUGAUAUGAUUGUUUUCCAUGCUUUGAUGCAUAUUGACCAUUACUCGCUUUCCUUUCUCUUUGCUUUCCUCUAUCUUCAUUUCAUUACUUCGUUUCAUUACUCGAUCUCUUUCUUUCUUUUCUCAUAUCUUUCGAUGUCAAAUUUGGAUUUAGCAUUCAUAUUUGGUUUAUAUUCAUCUUGUUGAUGUUUGGUAUGUUAUUUCUUCUACCAUCCUUAUUGUAUUUGGGACACCCCUAAGUCCAUGACUCAUGAGGUUUUUUUUUUUUUUUUUUUUUUAUGUAUUGCAUCUCACACAUGAGGGUUAUGGGUAUUAUAUUAUUGAAUUUUUUAGCCUAGUUUCCUUUUGUUUCUUUCACCCUAUUACCUUAACCUACGUUACGUCUAAGGUCUAGAGACCACCUUGAGGCUGUGAUAUCUUACAUUGUGUUGGAUAGCUCACACAUGGGCGAUGCUUGAGAUUUGAAGAUUACUUGGAGCAUUAGUGAUGAUGGAUUUUGAGAUGAUGGCUUACAUGGGGACAUACCCCUCUCAUUGAUGAUAGAUUUUGAUAUGAGAUGAUGGCUUACACUAGGACAUACCCCUCUUACUGAUGAUAGAUUUUGAGAUGAUGGCUUACAUUGGGGCAUAACCUUCUUAUUGAUGACAAAUUUUUGAUAUGAAUGAGAAUGCAUGUAAAAAAUGCAAGUACACACUAAGGGUACAUGCAAAAUGUUUUAUUUUUGAUACAAAGAAACAACCUUUCAUAUGCUAACUGGUUAAAUAAUAACAAAAGGUAGUGAUAAAAACAAACUAUUGAUUCCAAGCAAUACAUAUUCCAAUUAAAAUGAACUCUCAAAGUAAAAAUGGAAAAAUUUAAAAAGAAAAAAAAUAUUAUGUUCCAUCCCUAUACCCUAAUGAUACAUACAAAAUGUUUCAUUUUUUAUAUAAAGAAACAUUUCAUAUGCUAAUCAAUCAAAUAGCAACAAAGGGUAGUGAUAGAAAGAAAUGAUUCCAAGCAAUAUAUAAUAUUCCAAUUAAAAUGAACUCUCAAAGUAAAAAAGAAAAAACAAAAAACAAGAAAAAAACCAAAACAAAAAACAAAAAACAAAAAACAAAUAAAAAAAAAAUAAAAAAUAAAAAACAAAAAACAAAAAACAAAUAAAAAAAGAAAAAAAAAAUUAUUUUCUAUCCCUAUGGCAUAAGGGUACUUAUCAAAUAUUUCAUUUUUUAUAUAUAUCAAACAUAGGUUAGUGAUUAAAAAAAAAAAAAGGGAGGGGGGGGGGGGGGGGGGGGGGGGGGGGGGGGNNNNNNNNNNNNNNNNNNNNNNNNNNNNNNNNNNNNNNNNNNNNNNNNNNNNNNNNNNNNNNNNNNNNNNNNNNNNNNNNNNNNNNNNNNNNNNNNNNNNGCAACCUCUAUGUUUACUGCAACCAACGAUGGGCCUUAGCAUAUGAGAGGAUGUUUCUUUGUAUAUAAUAAUGAAACAUUUUGUAUGUACCCUUAGGCUAUAGGGAUAGAACAUAAUUUUUUCUUUUAAUUUUUUCUCCCUUUUUUUUUUUUUCUAUUUUUUACUUUGAGAGUUCAUUUUAAUAGGAAUAUAUAUUGCGGGGGGGGGGGGGGGGGUGGGUUUCGUUCACCCUUAAGGUUUUGGCUAAAUAUAUCUAGUUUCCAUAGGUUUGAAAUUUUAAAUACAUCCCUUAUUUUGAGUGAAAGGGGAGACGAGUAAAAAUUAGAAAUAAAAAUAAUAAGUAAAGUAUUUGUGAAAUUGCAAACCAACAAGUAUUGAUAUAUUUAACCAAAAUCCAAAAUCUGAAAGAAAGUGAAAGAAAUUAUUAUAAGCAAUAUAUAUUCCUAUUAAAAUGAACUCUCAAAGUAAAAAAUAGAAAAAAAAAAAAAGGAGAAAAAAUUAAAAGAAAAAAUUAUGUUCUAUCCCUAUAGCCUAAGGGUACAUACAAAAUGUUUCAUUUUUUAUACAAAGAAACAUCCUCUCAUAUGCUAAGGCCAUCUUGGUUGCAGUAAACAUAGAGGUUGCAUAUAUCCUACACGCCUUUCCCCUUUGUGCUAACCUUCUUCUUCCCUCUUUCACCACUUGUUCCAUUGCUUCCAACAGUGACUCCACAUUUGGAGAAAACAUGAACCCAUACUCAUCAUCAACCACAAUUGUGCCUUUUAUGCUUGGAAACCUUGAUGCCAAUACAGCCUUCCCACUCAUCAUGGCCUCCAUUAGAGUGAGAUCGAGCCCCUGAGGCCUAAGAGUUGGGUUCACAAAGACAUCGAUCGAGUUGUAGAAGGCCCGAAGCUGGGAAGGAUUCAUGGAUCCCAAGACUAGUACCUGGCGCCCCAAGUCCUUGUACCUGUUCUCCCAUGGCCCUGAGCCUGCAGCAAUCAAGUAGGCAUCUGGGUGUCGUUUUAUGAACCUGGAGAAGGCCUCAUGGAGUAUGGGAUGCCCUUUGUCCUUCACUAGCCUCCCUGCAACUCCUAGUACUAAACUAGCGUUUUGUGGGAUCCCGAUUCUGGACCGGAACUGGUGACCUAGCUCCAGGUCCUGCCGGAAGUCUUCCUCAUCGACUCCAUUCAGAAUCACAUGGACUCUUUUGGUGGGGAUUUGGUAUACAUCCCUUAGCAUUUCUCCACAGCUAUCGCUUAUGGCUACGUGGUGGGCAUAGUUGUGGAAGAACCUUAUUUCAUUCAGGACUUUUGGGAUCACCCCUUGGACACUCCUGUUGAAGCCUGGAGAGAUGGGCUCACCGGGGGGGCGCAGGGCCAAGUCUUGGUAGAGGUCUGAGCUCAAGCUCUCAAGGGCAAUACCGUGCCAUGAGACCGCAAGGUUGGGGAGAGUUUUCGCCAGCCAGUGAGGCAGCGCGACGCUUUCUGAGUGGACUACGUCGAAAGGGUCCUGGCGGUUCUCCUCAACAAACUGCUCCCAC
rnacentral:lncRNA from 1 species